AUGCCGCGGCUGUGGCGCCUGGCGCCCCUGGUGCUCUUCUGCCCCUUCUCCAAGGGCCUGCAGGGCCGGCUCCUGGGCCUGAGGGUCAGAUGUGUCUUCCUGGCCUGGCUGGGCGUGUUUGCGGGCAGCUGGUUGGUGUACAUGCGCUACUCAUCCUACUUGGAGCUCUGUCGCGGCCAGUCUGCCAGGUGGUCAUCUGUGGCCAGUACCACCAGGGCAUCAUCUCGGGCUCCAUCUGCCAGGACCUGUGUGAGCUGCGUCUGGUGGCAUGGAGGACCUGCCUCUCGGCGGCCCCCGGCCAGCAGGUAUACAGUGGGCUCUGGCGAGACAAGGAUGUGACCAUCAAGUGUGGCAUCAAGGAGGCGCUGGACUCCAAGGCCCAGUGGGACGCGCCCCCCCGGCGGGAGCGGGUGCUCUUCGACAAGCCCACCAGGGGCACCUCAAUCAAGGAGUUUCGGGAGAUGACCCUCAGCUUCCUCAAGGCGAACCUGGGCGACCUGCCUUCCCUGCCGGCGCUGGUGGGCCAGGUCCUGCUCAUGGCCGACUUCAACAAGCACAACCGGGUGUCGCUGGUGGAAGCCAAGUCCGUGUGGGCCCUGCUGCAGCAUAACGAGUUCCUGCUGCUGCUGUCCCUGCAGGAAAAGGAGCACGCCUCCCGACUGCUGGGUUACUGCGGGGACCUCUGCCUCACCGAGGGCAUGCCUCACGGUGCCUGGCACCCCUGCAGGGUGCCCUCCAGCAGUGGCUGGGGCCCGCUUGGCCGUGGCGGGCCAAGAUCGUCAUCGCCCUGCUGGUGUUCUUGGAGGAGCUCUUCCACAGCGCCUACGGGACCUUCUACAUGUGCGAGACCACGCUGGCCAACGUGGGCUACACAGCCACAUACGACUUCAAGAUGGCCGACCUACAGCAGGUGGUCCCCGAGGCCGCCGUGCGCUGCUUCCUGCAGGGCCGCGGCCGCGAGCACAGCGCCGACUGCACCUGCGGGCGCGACUGCAGGGCCCCGUGCGACAGGCUCAUGCAGCAGUGCAUGCAACUUCAUCAAAGUACAGCAACGUAG